UAGGCCUUGGUCUUAAUCUGAGUGGGGGUGGUGAUGGUGGUGAUGUAAUAUGCUAGGUACUAGGACUUGGUCUUAAUCUGAGUGGGGGUGGUGAUGGUGGUGAUGUAAUAUGCUAGGUACUAGGCCUUGGUCUUAAUCUGAGUGGGGGUGGUGAUGGUGGUGAUGUAAUAGACUAGGUAAUAG